GAUGAACGCUAGCUACAGGCUUAACACAUGCAAGUCGAGGGACCGGCGCACGGGAGUGUAACACGUAUACAACCUGCCCUGUACUCGGGAAUAGCCUUACGAAAGAAAGAUUAAUACCCAAUAUAAAGUACGGGGAUGGGUUUCAUUAGGUUGUUGGGUAGGUAACGGCCCACCAAGCGUUCGAUGGAUAGGGGGUCUGAGAGGAAGGUACACCAGAUUGGAACUGAGACACGGUCCAAACUCCUACGGGAGGCAGCAGUGAGGAAUAUUGGUCAAUGGGCGGUAGCCUGAACCAGCCAAGUAGCGUGAAGGAUGAAGGCUUAUGGGUCGUAAUCUUCUUUUAUAUAAGAAUAUGUAUUAUAUGAAUAAGGAUCGGCUAACUCCGUGCCAGCAGCCGCGGUAAUUC
rnacentral:rRNA from 1 species